AUGCGCCUCUCCAUCGGCUCCCCAUCCCCGUCGCCGCCGCCGGCGGUGGCCGCCGCUCUCCGCAGCACACCCCCGUCGCGCCGUACCGCCAGUCAUGUUAUGUUCAGGCAGAAGCUGAGUUUCAUGGAGGCAUUUCAGACUCAGCAUCUGAAAUAUGCUCCUCGUUUGAUCAAAUCAGUCGUAAAAGGUAUUAGAUCAAAUAUAACUGAUGGUGAUAAUGGAACGACUGAGCCAGCUAGAGAGUUGCUGGAGCGGCUAUUUGCGAGGACACAAAGUUUAGACACUGGUGCUUCUCAUGAUAGUGAACUGAGCGUGAGCAUUGAGGUCCUGAAGUCUGAAUUCGAGGGUGCCUUGUCUAUCCUCAGAAACAAAGAGAGGGAUCUUCGCAGCGCAGAGAAGAGGGUUUCCGAUGAUCGGAUAAGGUUGAGCAAGACAAAGCAGGACCUUGAUCAGAGAGAGGAAGCGAUCCGCAAAGCUUAUGUAAGGCAACAAGGAAUAGAGAAAGCACUGAAAAAGGCAAGUAGAGAUCUGGCGUUGCGAGUGAAGCAGAUCAGUGAUCUGAAGCUUCUGGUUGAGGGGCAAGACAGGACUAUUGCCAGGUCACAAGCUUUGCUUUCUCAGAAGGUAACUGAAGUGGAAAAUCUCAAACGAGAUAUGUUCAAGAAGAACGAGGAAGCAGACCUGAUGCGUUCAGAGAUCAGGUCCAAAGAAAAGCUGCUUCUUACAGCUAAUCAAGCUAUUGCGCAGCAAGAAGCAACAGUUAGGGAGCUGCAGAGUGAAAUUAAAAGAAAGACAAUGGAUAUCGCCAGAUCAAAUGAAUCGAGGAAAACUAAUGAAGAGAAACUGAAAGUUGCUGAACAGGAACUUGAGAAGCAGAGUUUAGGAUGGUUAGCAGCACAACAAGAGUUAAAGGAACUUGCACAACUGGCAUUCAAAGAUACAGAUGAUAUCAAGGGUAUUAUCACUGACUUCAAACGUGUGAGGUCUCUGCUAGAUGCUGUACGCUCUGAAUUGAUCUCUUCAAAAGAUGCUUUCGCUUCCUCUCGCAGACAAAUAGAAGAUCAAGCGGUUCAGUUGCAGGAACAAGUACAGGAACUCGAGGACCAAAGGGUAUUACUGAUGUCUUACACCCAUGAUUUGGAGGCUGCUCAACUGGAGAUUCAAGGGAAGACACAGGAGCUCAAUUAUGCACAGUCUCGUUGUCAUGAACUUGAAUCACAGUUACUUAAGGAAAUGGAGAAGGUCGAGUCUCUAGAAGCCGAAUUAACGAAAGAAAAACAGAGCUUAGAACAUAGAACUGAAGAAGUAGGCUUUCUUCAGAAGGAGCUUGUUCAGAAAGAAAAUGAGUGCACCAAAUCACAAGAACUUGUUAAAGUAAAAGAGUUUGAGCUGUUAGAAGCCAGACAGGAAGUCCAAGAUAUGAAGUUAAAGGUAGAGUCUAUUCAAUUGGCUGUUCAAGAAAAGGAUUCAGAGCUUUCUGAUACACAGAGCAGACUAACUGAAGUCAGCAGUGAAAUUGUUGAGCUUCAGCAGUUGCUAAAUAGCAAGAAGGAUCAACUGGUUCAGGCUAGAACUGAAUUACAUGAUAAAGAACAACAUAUAGAAACACUGGAGAGUGAGUUGGAUAGCAUACGGCUCAGAUGCUCGCAAGCUGAAUCCAUGGUUCAAAGGAUGGCUGAGCUCACUGGCGAUCUUGCUAGUUCCGUAAAAGCCGGAGAAAUGGACAUCUAUACAUUACUGGAUGAUGAAAUUUCAAGCACAAGUACAGCCCUCGAGUCCAAUUUACAUAAGCAUAAUCAACUGGAGGCUGACAUAGAGAUGUUAAGAGAAUGCUUGCGGCAUAAGGACAUGGAGUUGAGAGCUGCUCAUGAAGCACUUGAUGCCAAAGAUCAAGAGCUGAAGGCAGUACUUAAAAAAUGGGAUGUGAAGGAGAGGGAACUACGUGAGUUGGAAGAGUUACCGGAUCCCAGUGCCACAAAUGAACUUGCUGGUUUUUCCAGUGAGACAACAGAGGGCGGUAUUGUAGGAGAGAUGGAGCUGCCAGAGCUUCAAAUUGAUGCUGCGGAGGUCGAAGCACUUGCUGCUACGACUGCAUUGAGGAAGCUUGCGGAUAUGACUAAGGAUUUCUUCAAACACGUCAAAGCUGAUUCUGGUAUUAACUUGGUUGCAUCAGAGAGUCAAAAAAUCAUUAAAUGCGAUCCUAAAAUGGAAGUACACAAGAAGACGGAUGUGAUUCUUGAAGCUGAAAAAGAAAUAGUUAGGCUCUUCUCAUUGACAAAACAGAUUGUCACUGAUGACAUAAUAAACGAUGUUGAGGAAUGA
rnacentral:rRNA from 1 species